rnacentral:lncRNA from 1 species
GCCAAGCACUGAGCUGAACUCCUGGAAUCCAGUUGUAGAGAGCGGGGAGUGAUGAGCAAAGGGGUCAAGACCAUGCUGGGGAAACCCAUAGAACAUUUGACCUGAGCAAGUGGGAGCUCAUGGACCGCAGUCUGACAGAUGUGGGGUGAGACUGGGUGGCUGUGUCUGGAGGAACAGAGGAAGAGGAGCAGAUCUGCAGUCAGCCUACCUGCUUCCUUGGCAGAAGUCUCUCUCCUGCAUUGCAAAACAUGAGGGUCCAUGGUCAGUUCCUCAGUUCCACAUUAAAAGCUGCACAGCCACACAUGCCUGUAACCCCAGCAUGGUGAGGUGGAGACAGGCAGAUCCUGAGAGCAUGCUGGCCAGACAGCCUACCUGACCCUGAGCUUCCAGUUCAAGAAAUCCAGUCUCAAGGCAAUGGGGUGGAGAGUCAUAAAGGAAGACAUCCACUGUCCUGCUCUGGUAUGUACCACUUGGGUAUGUACACACACACACACACAUGCACAAUACACAUCACAUACCAAAGGGAG